rnacentral:rRNA from 1 species
AUUGAACGCUGGCGGCAGGCCUAACACAUGCAAGUCGAACACGUGGCGGACGGGUGAGUAAUGUCGGGGACACUGCCUGAUGGAGGGGGAUAACUACUGGAAACGGUAGAUAAUAGCGCAUACCAUGGGAUGUGCACAUGUGGGUAUAGCUAGUAGGUGGGGUAAAGGCUCACCUAGGCGACGAUCCCUAGCUGGUCUGAGAGGAUGAACAGCCACACUGGAACUGAGACACGGUCCAGACUCCUACGGGAGGCAGCAGUGGGGAAUAUUGCACAAUGGGCGCAAGCCUGAUGCAGCCAUGCCGCGUGUAUGAAGAAGGCCUUCGGGUUGUAAAGUACUUUCAGCGGGGAGGCGUUACCCGCAGAAGAAGCACCGGCUAACUCCGUGCCAGCCGCCGCGGUAAUAC